rnacentral:piRNA from 1 species
UGAGGGCAACUCGACACUCUCGUGCU